rnacentral:rRNA from 1 species
UACGUACCGGACAAACGUUAUUCGGAAUCACUGGGCUUAAAGAGUACGUAGGCUGUUUUGUAGGUGAGAUGUGAAAUCCCACGGCUCAACCGUGGAACUGCGUUUCAAACCACAAAACUUGAGGGAGACAGGGGUGAGCGGAACUGAUGGUGGAGCGGUGAAAUGCGUUGAUAUCAUCAGGAACACCGGUGGCGAAGGCGGCUCACUGGGUCUCUUCUGACGCUGAGGUACGAAAGCUAGGGUAGCGAACGGG